rnacentral:rRNA from 1 species
UACGGGGGGGGCUAGCGUUGUUCGGAAUUACUGGGCGUAAAGGGCGCGUAGGCGGUCUGCUAAGUUGGAUGUGAAAACUCUGGGCUUAACCCAGAGCCUGCAUUCAAUACUGACAGGCUAGAGUUCUGGAGGGGAUAGCGGAAUUCCUGGUGUAGCGGUGAAAUGCGUAGAUAUCAAGAGGAACACCAGUGGCGAAGGCGAGUCCCUGGACAACACCUGACACUGAGGCACGAAAGCUAGGGGAGCAAACAGG